rnacentral:rRNA from 1 species
CGUGAGGGAAAGGCGAAAAGAACCCCGGCGAGGGGAGUGAAAAAGAACCUGAAACCGUGUACGUACAAGCAGUGGGAGCCUCUUAAUGGGGUGACUGCGUACCUUUUGUAUAAUGGGUCAGCGACUUAUAUUCUGUAGCAAGGUUAACCGAAUAGGGGAGCCGAAGGGAAACCGAGUCUUAACUGGGCGUUAAGUUGCAGGGUAUAGACCCGAAACCCGGUGAUCUAGCCAUGGGCAGGUUGAAGGUUGGGUAACACUAACUGGAGGACCGAACCGACUAAUGUUGAAAAAUUAGCGGAUGACUUGUGGCUGGGGGUGAAAGGCCAAUCAAACCGGGAGAUAGCUGGUUCUCCCCGAAAGCUAUUUAGGUAGCGCCUCGUGAAUUCAUCUCCGGGGGUAGAGCACUGUUUCGGCAAGGGGGUCAUCCCGACUUACCAACCCGAUGCAAACUGCGAAUACCGGAGAAUGUUAUCACGGGAGACACACGGCGGGUGCUAACGUCCGUCGUGAAGAGGGAAACAACCCAGACCGCCAGCUAAGGUCCCAAAGUCAUGGUUAAGUGGGAAACGAUGUGGGAAGGCCCAGACAGCCAGGAUGUUGGCUUAGAAGCAGCCAUCAUUUAAAGAAAGCGUAAUAGCUCACUGGUCGAGUCGGCCUGCGCGGAAGAUGUAACGGGGCUAAACCAUGCACCGAAGCUGCGGCAGCGACACUAUGUGUUGUUGGGUAGGGGAGCG